AGCGAACGCUGGCGGUAGGCUUAACACAUGCAAGUCGAACGGCAGCACACUACGAGCUUGCUCUUACGGGUGGCGAGUGGCGGAAGUGAGAGGAAAAUAACCGACUCUUCUCUUUCGUGGGGGAUAACGUAGGGAAACUUACGCUAAUAUCGCAUACGACCUACGGGUGUAAGCAGUGGAUCUUCUGACCUGGCGGGUGUGGAUGGGCCGGUGGCUGAUUAGCUAGUUGGCGGGGUAGUGGCCCACUAAGGCGACGAUGGGUAGCCGGACUGAGAGGGUGACCGGCAACAUUGGGACUGAGAUAAGGCCCAGACUGCUACGGGAGGCAGCAGUGGGGAAUAUUGCACAAUGGGAGGAAGCCUGAUGCAGAAACGCCGCGUGCGGGAUGACGGUUUUCGGGUUGUAAAAAGCUUUCGCCUGUGACGAAGCGUGAGUGACGGUAAUGGGUAAAGAAGCACCGGCUAACUACGUG
rnacentral:rRNA from 1 species